rnacentral:SRP_RNA from 1 species
GAUUGGGUCCUGUGCGACGGUUGCUCCUGAACCGUGUCAGAUCCUGACGGAAGCAGCACUAAGGGAUGUCUCCGGGUGCCGCAGUUUCACCUGGUUAGG